UACGUAGGGGGCAAGCGUUGUCCGGAAUCAUUGGGCGUAAAGCGCGUGUAGGCGGUUCGAUAAGUCUGCUGUGAAAGUCCAAGGCUCAACCUUGGGAUGCCGGUGGAUACUGUCGGGCUAGAGUGCGGAAGAGGCGAGUGGAAUUCCCGGUGUAGCGGUGAAAUGCGCAGAUAUCGGGAGGAACACCAAUUGCGAAGGCAGCUCGCUGGGACGUUACUGACGCUGAGACGCGAAAGCGUGGGGAGCAAACAGG
rnacentral:rRNA from 1 species